AAAUUGUUAUACAGAAAUAACCUUGGAAACAAUUUCAGCCGUUUGUCUCAAGGUGAUUCCUGCUAUUGAGGAUGAAGAAUGCCAAUAUCUCUCAUCAGAAAAAUGUAUAACUCUAGAAAGAAAUGGGACCUCAGCAGAAAAUGUAUCUUGCAGAGUUUAUAACAUAUCUUCAAUGAAAUGUACAUGGAUGCUUGGCAAAAAUGUUUCCCAUAGCACUUCGUACAUACUUUCUCUCAAACAAGGAACUACAAGCAUACAGUGUCAAGAAUAUGAAACAAAUUUCCAUGCAAGGACUGGUUCUUGCACAUUUCAUGAUUUGAGAGUACACUUUUUCGAGGACGCCACUAUCUUUGUACAGGGCUCAGAUCCUGGGAUGGAGGUGUUUG